rnacentral:lncRNA from 1 species
CGUUUCUCUUGAAUAAAAGAAGACUGGCAUAUUUUUCUCCUUUUUGCUGCAAGGAAGGCCUAACGAUAACACCGGAUUUGAAGCACGGUUCUCGGCGCUGAGCACACUGACGGGACCAAGAGUAUUCCAGGAAGAAACAGCUAGAAGACUUUAAAUGCCAUGUUUUUAUUGGAAUGAAGGUGAUUUUUCAAAGGUGGCUUGUAACAGAUGGUAGAAGAUGUCAAGGCUUCUUCUAAUGUUUAACUGUAAUAUGGCAUUGAUAUGGAGGAUGCACUGUCAAAAGGUACAGGAAGAAAGAAAAACACCACCUCUUGUUCAAGAAGGAGAUAAUCCCAGCUGUCGCACAGCCGCUCAGGAGAGCUGAGUCCUGUUUGAUCCAGUGGCUAAUUCCAGCUGAACAGAGCACAUCUUGUCUCUGCUGGCAUUUCAGUUUGAAGGACCUUACCACCCAAAAGCUGAUAUCUCCGUUUUUCCUUUUCCCUGCCCUGGUGGCUGGCAGUGCAGCUGCCUGCCUCUGGAGCACAAUGCAGCUGCCCCUGCACUGAACACUGGCAGCUUAAAGCAGAGUUAUGGGCAGCAGCGUUAAAGAACACGCUCUUACUCAACAGAGCAGUUCCAUGCAUACCCUGGAAUUAGAGCUGCUUAAUUUUCUGACCAAAAGCUUGUUUUUACUAUUGUUAGCACUGUAGCCAAGGAGCUCUGGGAGGGCAGGCUGGCUUCUAUUCUGUUUUGUGCAUCAUCAACCAAAUUGUCUGCUAAUUUCCUAUUGUGGAAUCUUUAUUACCAGCAGUGACCUAUGAGGCAGAAUGAAUAUUUUUGAAUUUCAAAUCUCGUGUGGAAGCUGCAGGUUGCCACCUAGAAAAAAAAAAUCUGACCUGUAAAUUUAGUAAAUAUGAUAGAAAAGUAAUUGGAAAUGAAAAAUAAGGAUCUUCAUUUUGUCUCUG